rnacentral:rRNA from 1 species
UACGGAGGGUGCGAGCGUUGUCCGGAAUCACUGGGCGUAAAGGGCGCGUAGGCGGCCUGAUAAGUAGGGGGUGAAAUCCUGCGGCUUAACCGCAGGGCUGCCUUCUAAACUGUCAGGCUAGAGCACAGUAGAGGCAGGUGGAAUUCCCGGUGUAGCGGUGGAAUGCGUAGAGAUCGGGAGGAACACCAGUGGCGAAGGCGGCCGGCUGGGGGUGACCUGACGCUGAGGCGCGAAAGCGUGGGGAGCGAACCGG